UUUAUUUCUUCUUUUUCACUUUUAGAUUUUCACAUGGCAGAGGGUCCUAAAGAAAGUCAAGAUUGUGUGGUCCGAUGGAUGUAGGGGGAAAUAUGUAUGUACAGAGCAUCUUGGGUUGGACACCUGCUUUAAAGCAGGGCUCAAAUGAUGUGGAGGUCUCCUUCAAGCCGGCUCGUGUCAUUCUGCAGCUGCAUGACUUGCAUUGGCAACUCGGGUCCCUUGGAUGAGAAUGUGGUAAACACGAUUGAGAAAAACAAUCUUGUCUGUGCUGGUGUCUUGUCGGGGCAAUCGUAACUUUGAAGGACGUAUUCAUCAUGGAUGGAUGGAUGUUCAGAGAUUGUAGGCGACUCAACCUACAUUAAGCGCCCGCCUUUCUUCGAGGGAAUGACCCGCGAACAUAUGAGCGCAUUCAUCGCUCUAAUUUGGUUGGCAUGGGUAUUAUUCCUUUGCAAUUCUUGCCUGGCCAAAAUGCAUCACCGGCUACACCCCCACAUACAUUACCCAUAUCCAUUCGAAAGAUGACUAAUAACUGUGGAAUGGCAGCAACUCAAGUGUGUUGUUUCAAAGAAAUGCAAGUGUUUUCACAGAUUUCAGAUUCUACGGAUGAAUUUUCUUAUUAACUUCAGUUACAAAUACCAUCAUAAAGUUGUUUUUUUUUUAUACAAUCUUCAAUAAAAAUAGAAACAGUAAAUUUAAAGGUUUGUAAUUAAAUUAUAUUCAUUAUAAAUCAAAUAGUUCUACAUUUUAAUUAUUUUAUUUAUCAUUCCUGUGUGUCUGUUUCAUUGAAUCGGAUGGACAUGCAUUAAUAUAUGUAUAUAUAUAUUAAACUUUUGCUUUUUUUUAUUAUAGUUUUUUUUUCUCAUAAAAUUUCGAUAACACAGAAUUGAGAGACAAUUGGUUGAAGAGUGAAAAUUGCAAUUUUAUGCAUAUUUUGCGGUUCGUUUGCUUCUUUUUCUGCUACAGAUCGUUUUAAAUAGAACUAAGAUGUCGUAUAAUAUAAUAAUUAUUAUUGUUUGCCAUUGUUACUGUGGGAAAUUAUAACACUAUUGCUUGAUGCUUGUCGGAUUCAGAUGGAGUUCUCCCGUUCUUAUUUAGGUUAUACAUAUAUGAUUAUAAUUCUUCUUUUUUUUUUAUUUUAUACACAUAUUCCUUGUGUAAUGUGUGUGUUAGAGUUUUGCUUCGU